AGAGUUUGAUCCUGGCUCAGAACGAACGCUGGCGGCGUGCUUAACACAUGCAAGUCGAACGCGAAAGGGACUUCGGUCCUGAGUAAAGUGGCGCACGGGUGAGUAACGCGUAGAUAACCUGUCUUCGAGUCUGGAAUAAUACACCGAAAGGGGUACUAAUACCGGAUAUUCUUGCAUUUCAUAAGGAGUGUAAGCAAAGGUGGCCUCUGCAUAUGCUACUGCUUGAUGAGGGGUCUGCGUACCAUUAGCUAGUAGGUGGGGUAAUGGCCCACCUAGGCUACGAUGGUUAGCGGGUCUGAGAGGAUGAUCCGCCACACUGGCACUGGAACACGGGCCAGACUCCUACGGGAGGCAGCAGUGAGGAAUAUUGCGCAAUGGGGGCAACCCUGACGCAGCGACGCCGCGUGAGUGAGGAAGGCCUUCGGGUCGUAAAGCUCUGUCAAAGGGAAAGAAAUGUAUAAUGGCUAAUACCUGUUAUAUUUGACGGUACCCUUAAAGGAAGCACCGGCUAACUCCGUGCCAGCAGCCGCGGUAAUACGGAGGGUGCAAGCGUUGUUCGGAAUCACUGGGCGUAAAGGGCGCGCAGGCGGUUUGGUAAGUCAGAUGUGAAAGCCCACGGCUUAACCGUGGAAGUGCAUUUGAAACUGCCAGACUUGAGUACCAGAGGGGAAAGUGGAAUUCCCGGUGUAGAGGUGAAAUUCGUAGAUAUCGGGAGGAAUACCGGUGGCGAAGGCGACUUUCUGGCUGGAUACUGACGCUGAGGCGCGAAAGCGUGGGGAGCAAACAGGAUUAGAUACCCUGGUAGUCCACGCCGUAAACGAUGUCAACUAGAUGUAGGGGGUGUUGAUCCCCUCUGUGUCGCAGCUAACGCAUUAAGUUGACCGCCUGGGGAGUACGGUCGCAAGAUUAAAACUCAAAUGAAUUGACGG
rnacentral:rRNA from 1 species